AAGGGGUUAGCACAGUGGAAAGUGCAGCGGACUUUGACUUCGCUUACGAUGGUUCGAUUCCAUCACCCCUUG
rnacentral:tRNA from 1 species